UACGUAGGGGGCAAGCGUUGUCCGGAGUUACUGGGCGUAAAGCGCACGCAGGCGGUCGGCUGCGUCGGUGGUGACAGUCCUCGGCUUACCUGAGGAAGCGCUGCCGAAACGGGCUGACUUGAGGGCCAGAGAGGGAGACGGAACUCCGGGUGGAGCGGUGAAAUGCGUAGAGAUCCGGAAGAACACCGAAGGCGAAGGCAGUCUCCUGGCUGGUUCCUGACGCUCAGGUGCGAAAGCGAGGGGAGCAAACAGG
rnacentral:rRNA from 1 species